AGUCCACAUUGAGAUGCUAGAAGAUUUGUCCAGAGACGCUUUCAUCAAUGCUCUAAGGUGCUUUAUCAGCCUUAGAGGAGCAGUUUCUCAGCUCCAUUGUGACCAGGGAACAAACUUUGUGGGGGCUAAGAACGAGCUCAAGGAAGCACUCAAACAGUGCGACACCAAGGCACUUGAAGCUUUCCUUGCAGAUAGACAGUGUGAGUUCAUUUUCAACGCUCCCUCCGCAAGCCAUGCAGGAGGAGUCUGGGAGCGGCAAAUUCGUACCAUCCGCAACGUGCUCAAGGUCACAAUUGCUCAGUGUCCAGGUAGACUAGACGAUACCUCACUGAGAACGUUGUUUUAUGAAGCUAUGGCCAUUGUAAACAACCGUCCCUUAAGUGUUGACUCAAUCAAUGACCCCAGAUCACUAGAACCCUUGACACCUAACCACCUGAUUUUGAUGAAAUCAAAGAUGGCCUUGCCUCCUCCUGGUAAGUUUGUGAGAGAAGAUAUGUAUGCUGCAAAGAGAUGGCGUCGAGUACAGUACCUGGUGGAGCAGUUUUGGAGCAGGUGGAAACGAGAAUAUCUUCUGAACGCAUCAGGCAAAAGUGGCAUGUACUUCGACGCAACCUGAAAGUGAACGACAUAGUCAUCAUCAAGGAAGACCUACUCCCAAGGAAUGAAUGGCACCUAGGAAGAGUAGUCGAAACCCUAAAAGGUACUGAUGGCUUAGUUCGCCAAGUCAAGGUGCAAGUUGGUGAUCGUAGAUGGACGAAGGCAAAGGACCGUCACUCUAAACCCUCAUUCAUAGUGAGACCUAUCCAGAAACUAGUUCUUCUCAUUGAAAGUGAAUAAUUAGACUAACUGUCACUCAAAGCACACACCCCCUGAUAUGAUGUGGUGGUUUAUUUACCAUACCCAUUCAGAGUCUGUAUGUGAUUUACCAGUACGUUCAUGUGUAUCAUGUUAAGAAGUCAAGAAAUCAUAUGUUUCAUUGUUCAUUCACCUAGUUGAAUUCAUUCAUAUGAUUUGGUGGGAGUGUAAGUGGCCGCAUGAGCAGUUUGGAGGCCCAUUCAUGUUACGGGGUGGGAACUGUCGUUCGCUAUUCAUGUUCCGGGGCGGACACAGAACAGGUGACACAGAGCGGGAGAGAAACCACACCACCGACGUAACUAACUAACGGGCUCAUCAUCACUUUCUUUGUGCUUUUUUGGCGAAUUAGCACGCUCACGUGAGUGAGCACUGCAGAGACCGUAGAUGCUAACCGCAUGUUUGCUGGAAGUCAGAGUUUGCAUCCCUUGGUUAAGCGGAGCAAGUUUUCACAGUGCCUAAAGAUCCAGAGGAAUAAAAUCAAGUGCACCCGUCAGAAAAUCUCCACUGUCGUUAUUCAAAGGCCAAGGGCUGCUACAUUAAUAUCGUCCAUUUUUUCUCCC